GAGCUCAAAUUUGAAAUCUGGCGUGCUCAGUGCGUCCGAGUUGUAAUCUAUAGAGUCGUUUUCCGUGCCGGACUGUGUCCAAGUCCCUUGGAACAGGGUAUCAAAGAGGGUGAUAAUCCCGUACUUGACACAAUGACCGGUGCUCUGUGAUACGUCUUCUACGAGUCGAGUUGUUUGGGAAUGCAGCUCAAAAUGGGUGGUGAGUUCCAUCUAAAGCUAAAUAUUGGCGAGAGACCGAUAGCGAACAAGUACCGUGAGGGAAAGAUGAAAAGCACUUUGGAAAGAGAGUUAAACAGUACGUGAAAUUGUUAAAAGGGAAACGAUUGAAGUCAGUCGUGACUGAGAGGCUCAGCCGGUUCUGCCGGUGUAUUCCCCUCAGUCGGGUCAACAUCAGUUUUGUUCGGUGGAUAAGGGCAGUUGGAAGGUGGCACCCUCGGGUGUGUUAUAGCCAGCUGUCGCAUACAUCGGAUGAGACUGAGGAAUGCAGCUCGCCUUUAUGGCCGGGGUUCGCCCACGUUCGAGCUUAGGAUGUUGACAUAAUGGCUUUAAACGACCCGUCUUGA
rnacentral:rRNA from 1 species